rnacentral:rRNA from 1 species
AGGAGCGACCAUAUCAGCACUAAUGCACGGGAUUCCCUCAGAACUCUAAAGAUAAGCGUGCUUGGGAAAGAAUUGUACUUA